CCUCCGUGGUCCCCCCACCCCCAAAAAAUGAUGAAAAGGCCUUUCUAUUCAAUCGCAUGCAGAGCGGCCCCCCAAAGCCACAUCCUAGUGCUAGCCCUUCAUACUCAUUCUCAUUCCACAGAAGAAGAACCCAGCAUUGGGUAGGGCUAAUCCAGAGAUGACAGGGCUUAAGAGGAUACCUUUGAGGGCACAAUGCAAGUGCAUCUCUAGAACCUUCUAUUCUAGAACCUACACCCAGUCCUUUGGAGUCUUUACUCUCCAAUCAGUCCAGAGCUGUGGAAGCCUCCUCCUGAGGCUCUCAACCUAUGCUCUUAGCCUAAAACCCAUUACGUCUUCAGAAACGUGACUCUUUUCUCCAAGGGGCAGCAGAUCCCUCCUGGCCUUCUGCUUCUCUGACCCUCUUGCCCUCUGAAACAAGUCAGACCUCAGCUGCGUCCCUUCCCCUGGCUGACGGGCAAUAAGCUGGCCCACCAAGCCCAGUUCUGUGGCGCCCUGCCUUCCAUGAGGAGCAGCAGCUGGCGCAAGUCGGAUCAGAGGGUGUUCAUAGAACAGGUUCGAGAAUGCAUGAACAACGGUUACUUGCUCUCCUCCAAGAAGAUCGGAUCUGGUGCUUUCUCCAAGGUCUACCUGGCCUAUGCAACACGUGAGCGAAUGAAGCACAACCCUAGGCUAUCCUCUGACUUGCGGGGCAAGCGCCACACUAUGGUGGCUAUCAAGAUUGUGUCCAUGGCUGAAGCCCCGGCGGAAUACUCCAGAAAGUUCCUGCCCCGUGAGAUUUUAUCACUCAAUGCUACCUACAAGCACAUGAACAUAGUUCAACUGUAUGAGACCUACCAGAACAGCCAGCGCUCCUACCUGGUACUGGAGUUGGCAGCUAGAGGUGACCUGUUGGAGCAUAUCAACGCAGUGUCAGACCUCCGAUGUUGCCCAGGACUGGAGGAGGAAGAAGCCCGAAGGCUGUUCUGGCAACUGGUCAGCGCUGUGGCCCACUGCCACAAUGUUGGCAUUGUACACAGGGACUUGAAAUGUGAAAAUAUCCUGUUGGAUGACCAGGGCUUCAUAAAGCUGACAGAUUUUGGCUUUGCCAACUGGGUGGGGCUCAAGAACUCCCUGCUGAGCACCUUCUGUGGCUCGGUGGCCUAUACGGCCCCAGAGAUCCUCAUGAGCAAGAAGUACAACGGUGAGCAGGCUGAUCUGUGGAGCCUAGGGAUCAUCCUCCAUGCUAUGGUGUCUGGGAAGCUGCCCUUCAAGGAACACCAGCCCCAUCGCAUGCUGAACCUGAUUCGUCGAGGUCCCAUCUUCAGGCCAGGGCUGUCCCCAGGUGAGCACCAUCACGCCACGCUCCUUCCAAGGCCCAGUUCCAGCCUGGAGGGUAGCGAGACCAGGACCACCGCGAUGAGAAUACGGUAUCACAUUACCCCCAUGUGCUGGAAAAGUACAGUCCUCGAACUGUAUGUUGGGGAAGUUGAGCUGUGGUGGGACUGACUUAGAGGGCUACCAAUCCUACUGAAUAUCUAACAUGGCACUUUUCUGGAAUACCACACCCCUCCUCUGCACCUCAGUCCCCUUUUGAUAAUAGCCCCCAAACCUUUGCCAGGACUAGUAGUGACUCCUGUCAAGCUGCCAACAUUUCUGACAGUAGCAGAGUGUGGGUCAGGAUUGUGGCAGGCUCCAGCAGUGAGCCCUCCCCUGUAGAGUGCCGGGACCUGAUCCGAGGGCUGCUUCAGCUGCAUCCAUGUGAACGUCUGGACCUACAGCAGAACAGGAUCAUUCCUGGU